UCUUAUCGAGAGAGGCGGAGGGAUCUGGCCCUGUGAAGCCUCGGCAGCGGACUUAUUAAGAGAACUGUGCCAAUUCCAACAAGCAAUAGCUUGAGAGAUA
rnacentral:ncRNA from 1 species